CAGCUCAUAUUGCUUAGUUCUGGUGUUUUAUCAUGUUGGACCAAUUUAUACCUACAAAUGUUUUUUCUUCCUUUGGGUUGUUCAGCUGUUGGGUCUUUGCUUGUUAUAGUGAUUUUUAAAGUUGCUAAAUAUAUAUAAAACUAUCAUGAUAAUUAUUUUUACUAUUACAGAAAGUAAAAAAAAUGAUGAUAAUGAUAAUUGUACAUAGUUGAAGUUUUGUUAAAAUAACUACUUGUUUUUUUAGAUUUUUCACAUUUUUGACCCAAUGUCCUUUGGUUAGAUUAAAGCCAGCAUGGUACAAUCUAUUAUAACUUUUAUAUAUCCGUUAAAAAGUGCACAAAUACACUGAUAAUUAACUUCCUUGGUGUAUUUGUUGAAUGACAGGAUUGGGAUCUAAGAAUCAGGGUUUUUGAAUGUCUCACCAUCGGGCAAAAUCAUCCAAAUUUGAGGACCUCAAGCUAUUUUUGCUAUUGUGUUUUUUACAGUUGUACAUUUAUGAUAGUUUUAGUUUGGCUUUGGAUUUUAGAAUAACCUAAUUGACCAGCAGUAAGACAGAUGAAUAAGAAAAUCAAACUGGGAUAUAAUAGAAAGGUGAUUAAUAGCACAGAGGCCUGCAACAUCAUCAAUUAUGCAACCUAUUAAUCACUGAAAGCAUUACGGCGGCUGAAAAGGAGGGUGAAUCUCAAUGCUGAAACUUGAAUUAGACUUGAUUUUGCUUCACAGCACAUUAAAAGCACAACUGUCGUGAAAGAGAAGAGUUGUAGUCUUUGCAUAAUUUGCUGCACCUGCUGCGAUUUGAUCACCUGAAAUGGGAAUCCAAAUGUGCCCCCAGUAACAAACAGUCACAUUACCUCGCAGCUGAAUGUGCUUUGUGUGGGAUUCUUUGUGCACACCUUCUAUGUGCAUGCUUUAAGUGUCAUAUUUUUUAUUUUUCCAAGGCUAUGAAGUCGUUUAUCAAACCCAGGACCCCAUACAUAUGGAUGAAUGGAGAGAGAGGGGGAUAUAUGGUGUCUAUUUGAUUAAGGAGACCUUUGACAGAGGAGCCUGUACCAGAGAAUGACAGCUGAAGCUCUGUGGGUUUACACCGCAUAAAGCUCAUCCUCGGGGACCAAUGUCUAGUUGGAAUUAUAAGCAGUGUGGAGCUCAUACAGCCGCUGGAGAGAACUGAUGAGAUGGGAGCUUUUUUCAGGUCACUCACAUAUUCAAGUGUAGGGGGAUGCAGAUUGGGCAGUUCUUGUUUGUGGUGAAUACCAAACAGAAGCUCAAAACCUAUUCCCUUCAACUGAUCAGCAGAAAGAUGCAUAAAUAAGUCUGGCAACCAGCGAGGUGCUUUGCAAAGUAAGACAAAAGGGGAUCCACGCGGCUUGAAUCCAACCUCAAAGUACACACUUGGAGCUACCAUUACAGAUAAAUCAAACUAAAACCCCUCUGCUAUCCUAAUGCACAAGCAAUUAGAAGUGUGCUGUUUUCCAAAACAAAUGCUUACUGCAUCAGCUGAAACACUAAACAGACAUAAUUGGUGGAGGUAUUUUUGGAGACGGCAAUUACUCGCGUUAUUAAAAAAAUAAUAAUAGUUUUAAUGAGCUCGGCUAUUGGAUGGAAAUGAAACUGAAAGAGAAAACAUUACCGAUUUGUCGAGCAGCCAUUUAUCUGUAAGGACCGUUAGUAUCCAAGACAAUCAUUAGACCUUAUGGUUGAAUACAUGCAGUUCUGUUUAGUAAACCUCUGGCAUGGCUGUAUAACACAUAAGGGUUAGGGGUGGGAAUCUUCAGGCACAUCACGAUUCGAUUACGAAUACGAUUACGAUUCAGGGGCUACGAUUCGAUUCUGAAACGAUUAUCCCCCCCCCCAGCUAUUACACAUUUCUUUUUGUCUCACUGUGUAACCAUUCACCACUUUGUGUUUUUAAAAUAUUAAUAAUGAGAAACAAUUAAAUGAAUUAAUUUCCACUAUCUUUUAUUAUACUUGUGGAAAUGUGUAAACAGGAAAGUUACAACUUCAUGUAAAGAACAAAAGGUAGCAGCAUCCUUGGCUUUUAGCAUAUCCUGAAUCACAUUAUGUGAAAUGUGAAAAUAUGUCCUUAUUAAGAAAUGUAAGAAAAUAUGAACUUAAUCUUUAAUUUAUGUGCAUAUAGCACUCAAACAAAUAAAUACAUUUUUUCAUUUUUUAGAAAAUAAAUAACAGAAUUCUGUUAUCUGUCGGGAUGGCCGUGUCAGUGAAGUAGCGUCGGGAUGGAAUGUUGUAUCUCGGCUCCACCGUGUGCAGUAGUGCUCGGAAGCCCUGGUUCUCCACUACUGAAUACAGACGUAAAUCCUUGGCAAUAAAUGUAGCGAUGGACUUCGUGAUUCGUUUCGCCUUUUCCGAUGAGGGGGGAAGCUUUGUAAUUGCUUGCUCGAUUGUUCUCUGUUUGGUGGAGGCAGCCGUAGCCUCGACAGCAGCCGGGCAUCUUCCCUCCUCGUUCGGGUGAAAACGAGUGAUGUGGCUCCUCAUGUUCGUGGUGUUACCAAAGUAUUUUAUCUUGGAGUGACACAGUUUACAUAUAGUGUGGCUCUUGUCCAGUUCAAGUCCACCCUCAACUCUGUAGAAGCCAAAAUUCUUCCAUACAUUGGCUUUUAAUCCGGAAGGGGCAGGGUGGAUCUCGCGCUCAGCCAUGCUUCUUUGUUAUGUGCUCCCCUUAAAGUGUCCGGCGGGUGACAACGCGCUGCACGAGUUCCGCCUUUUCGUUCCGCCUAUUUCACGUUAUUUAACAUCUAAAUAAUCGGAAUUUGGACGUUUGUGAAUCGAUUCAGAAUCGUCCUUGCCUGAAUCGAGAUGCAUCUAAGAAUCGAUAUUUUCCCCCACCACUAAUAAGGGUGUAUGUAAAGUGCAGGUAAAGCAGCUUGAGACAACCUGUAAAGGUUUUGUGGGAUCAGCAGACCAUUGGAGGCUCUGGCCCAGAACUGAGAGUAAAAUAAAAAAGGUUGGGUUUAGGCACAGGAUUUGAGCAUCAACUCAGCCUUGUUUCCAGAGAGUUCCUCUAUGCCUACAUAUCCCCACUGGACGUGUCUUCUGCUCUUGAAAUUGAUCAUUAGAGGACUUUUUAACAACAUAAUGGCGAGGCUUUACACGAUACCAUUAAUUAACCUGCUUGAUAAACCCCAAACGUGGUCAGGUCGGGAACACGUUUCUGGCUGGACUUCCUCGCAGACAGGCAGGGCAGGAACGUCGGUAAAGGCGUGUAUACACCAUUCACAAAUUCAUACACUGAUGACAGAGGGUGCCAUGUUUGUAAAGUGACCAUCUGUUUCAAUUAAUCCCAUUGACACGCUUCCGGCUAUGCCACAGAAAGCAAUGAGGGUACAAUGUCAGGUACACUAUGGUGUCAUCAAACCAUCAUUCUAUCUCAAACAGACCAUCCCAACUCUACGACAGAUACUGGUUAACUUGUCCUACUUUAUGGCGCCUCUGUCUCUCCACCUUUCAGCCCUUGGCAUUGUAGCAGUGCCUGACAGCUGGCCUCAGUCAUGCGAGGUACCCUCACUUUAGAAAUAAGUGAUGUCUCCUUUUGUAACAUGUAUUGAGAAUUACUCAACUGAAUAUCAGACAAUGUGUUGCUACUUUGUGAUAUAGUUUAAUCAAAUAAAAAAAAGGUUCAGCCCAGUGUUGGCGCAGAUUCUACUGGAGAGCUUGUUUCUUUGGGGUUUUUCCACCUCUGCAUUAGUCUGCAUUUGUCUGCACUCUUCCCUCCUUAGACAACACUCAGACAAAAUGCACAGCCCAUAAUUAUCUUUACAUUCCCAUCCACUUAGAUCUGCCAGUUUAUGACGGGAAAGUAUUUGAUCUGCUCCUAGUGCAGAUUCAUCUGAAGUACUUGUUGUGUUUGUUUUGGUGUUUUUCCGCCUCUGCAUCUGUCUGUACUGCUCUGCGCCCUCCCCCCCUCAAAAAACAUUGCAGCAGCGCCUCAUCCCCUCCCACUAAUAAUAAUAAUGAAUUAAUAAUAAGAGUAAGAACAAUGCAAUGCUAAAUAUUUUAUAUGUUCUGCUUCUGAAUUCAAAACCUGCAGUUAAAAAUCAACUCAGAGAUGUAAUAAACAGCCAAAAUGAUCAAAUAUGGGACUAAUGUGGUUUUGUCAGUUUUGGUUUCGAGAAAUGAAUGAAUCUCUAUUUUCUUCCUCUGAGUUUGCUGAGAUUUAAAUUUCCCUUUAUGCAUUUAUUGUGUUUAGAGGGUCAAGUUGGACACUACGUGACUGAAUAUGUAUGUUUUAACAUUAUUUAUUAAAUGGAUGCAAACACCUUUAUAUUCCCUGACUUUCCUGUGCAUCUGGGAGGUAAAGUUAUCCACUGCAGUAACAGCCAACACUAUGAAGAACUUUAUAUUAAAUAAGAAAUGAUUUUCUGGUGCUUUUUCAACAAGCUCAGCACAGUAGUUUUCCUUACUUUAAGAUUCCCUGUGUUCUGCAUCCUUCUUUUUUUUGUUAAAAAGAACAAGACAAUGCCUUGAAAUCCUUGUGAGCAGAGAGUUCCAGGUUGUGAAUGAAAAAGCGCCAGAAACAAAAAAAAAAAAAACAGCUUCUGUCACCCUGCUCAUCUUGGCAUGGAGACACCAGAGAGAAGAACAAAGCCAGCAUCCCCUCCUUACACACACAUAAUUUAGCCUGGCGUGUUAUGAAUCUAUUACAAAUCCUUUUAUAGCAUGCUCGAGAAGAAUAGCCUUACGUGAUAAUGCGCUGAAAGGCUAUCGCGCCACAGCAGAUGCCCAGCUUCGCUCUGGUGUUGCGUCCCUUGACGAGUCUUCCACCAGCUGGGUUCAUUGACAUCAACAGUCUGGGGACAGCCAUGGAAUCGGAGCUGUUUAGCUGCUUCGCUGGCCUCCCCGUGGCCCUGCUUUAAGGGCAUCCAGGGGCCCUCCAUCUGCAAGGUUAAGACAAUGCAGAGAGCUUUCAGGGAAGGGCAAAUAAAUGUGACAGUAAACAUGAACAAAGGAAGAUGCAAUCAAAGAGCUACUGUGGCUGUGGAUUACCUUUGAAAGCGCAUGUGAUCACUACAAGUGAAAGUGUGCAUGCAUGUUUACUCAGGGAGCAGUCUGAGACACUAAAGGAGAGAAUAAUUUCUAACACAAUGGAAAGCAACAACACACUGGUAUUCCACUACAGCUUUUCUCAUUCCCUCAGAGCACCUAUUUACCUAUAAAGUAAAGCUCUGUAAUUUAUGUACAGCCCACAUAAUUGUGGGCCGAUUUUCACACAUCGGUGGCAAUUCUAGACACCUGGAGAAACCACUUUGUCCAGCAUGUGAAAUGUCAAGUGAUGAAAUAGAAAGUCUGAAAUAGUCAGCUUGGAAUGAUGGCUGAGACCACUGUGUAAGUUACACAAAGCUGGGCUAUUAUCAGGUGAACCCUUCAUUGCAAAGAAAGAAGAAAUCGAAUGCGGAAAUAUCAAUCAAAACAAUGGAAACGGGUUGGAUAUUGAAUGGAUAGCAAAUGGGUAAAUGUGCAUAACUCAUCAAACAAACUGUCCUGUUGGGAUAUUUCAGUGAGUUGUGUGUUUCCCCAUUAUAAAGUGCUAUUAUUUCUACAUUGCGCAGUCAAAUAAAUGACUGUGUUUAAAUUUGGAGGUUGCAGCCAUAUAUCUCAUUGCAGAAACUUCCCUAAAAGCAAAUACGGCUCUGAUUUAAAAGAGAUAAAAUACCAGACACCUGACCAUUAAUACAAUAAAAACGUAAACACGCUGUAUGUAAAGGUAACUACAGUUUUAUUUUUAUUAAAGUAGUUUUAAAAAAUACAGAGUACCCAUGACAUAGCAAGAAAAAGCCAUAUACAAUAAUCUACCCAUUGUUUAUAUUCAUCCACUAAAUCUUCAUCCGCAGGUACAGAUGUUUUUACUCUGUGAGUAACAUGUACAGUAAAUGCUACAUAUGCAUUCGUGUUAAAGUGACGUGUGACAAAUUUGGGAGAUGUGGUUAACAUGUUAAUGAUCUAUUCUUUGUUACUAAAAGAAUAAAAUCAUGUUUACGCAUUCGUAAUCUGUGUGCACAGCUGGAAGAUAAUACGUGCACAGGAAAUACAAAUCCUAACCCAUAAGCACAAACCCAUAUGCACAGAUCAUAAACUGUACAACUUGGUAGCUGUGUGGGAUGAUACUCAUUAAGGAUGCAAUCAGAUGAAUGUGAAGGUCAUCUUCAAAGUGCAUUUAAAGGGAUAUUACAGCGUAAAAUUAAGUUAUGGUCAAACACACCAUAACACAGAGUUAGACACCCCCUUGAGAGAUGGAUGUUGCUGACUGUUUGCUUCUUAGUGAUACCAACUUUAGCAACAACCGCACGAUAGCAAUAUAGAGCAGUCUAUGUCUACACGUCAGAGCUCCCCCUCACGAGUAAUAAACUACAGCUUUUCUAGUUUUACUGGACACAAGAAUACUCAAACAUUUUGCUCGUAGUUCUGCACUUAUAUGUUGUAUUCUUUUUCCUUUUUAUGCAAGAAAAUGGUUAAACUAUGAGGUACAAACCCCAUGAAUGAAUUUUGAGUAGCUGUGUUGUACAAAGUUUAAUUAUUCGUACUCCUACUGUAUUUAAGUAUGACUGUUUGAGUAUAAGUCCUUCUCUGUUCAUGGACACACUCAUGUUAUCAUAUCUAAAACAACUCCCGUUAAAAGUUGCUCAAGGACAAAUUCUAGUGUUAAAACUUUCACUACUUCACUUUAGGUCCCCUCUGAUGGGCUUCUUGACAUCUGGAUGAAAUGAAAUUGGUUGUAUGUCAGCUCCAACAGCUCAUCGACAUGGAGAGCCUUCUCACAGUCAAUCUCAGUAUCUCUUGCACCAUGCCUCUUCAGAGCUUUUUAACUUUCACAGCGACCUCCGCCAGAGAAAUGGGGAACCAAUUCCCCGCCAUCCUCCAUCAUGAUAGGCUGUCUGCUCGACUCACAACUUUCUCAAAAUGGUCCAGUUCCCCUGACUCUCAGAGCUAGACUACAUCUCAAGGGCUCAGACCUCUUUUUUUUAUUUAUUUGGGGGAGAUUUAAGUUUGAAAAAACCUCCACUUGAGAAUCAAUCGUGGAAAAAAAGAAGUGCAGCCGUACAGAAUCAAUAAGCAUUAAAUGAUGAGGAAAUGGCACGGCUAGAUCCAUGCAGCUGCUGGUUUUCUGUUUUUAUCGGCAUGCUUUGAAUCUGGAUGACACAUUCCUGGCAUUUCAUUUUUCAUUUCAUGGCACAUUCACAAAUGUGUGGUCUUCUUAGAAAAUAAAAACCUUUUUGAACUCUACCACUCUAAGCGAAUGGUUUGAAAACGUAAUGGUUUUUUCACGGAUGUUUACAUUGGAGAGAUACUCGCCACUCAAGAGGCGCAUUGAGUCUUUCAUGAUGGACCCUGAACAAAUAAAAUGUGCUUUAAAAAACUACAAACACAACAAAAGAGGUCUUGAGAUCAAUUGCACAUUUAUUAUAAGAAAAAAGAAAAAAUACGUGUUUACCUCUAUGUCCACAAACACUGAUUACAUGGAUGCUCUUCUUUAUGCUGGUUUUUAUACAGAAGAAUUAUAAAGGCUUGACAUUUUCAUAUUAUCACCAGUUGUGUAAAGAGAACCCAUAAGACAGGCAGGUACACACUCUGCUGAUUGUGAAAUUGAACAGAACAAAAGCCAAUCAGGACCCAAGCUAACUGAUGAAGAUAGUGGAGCCAUGACAACAGCAGUGUAAGCAUGUCGCUUCAACGUAGAAAUGAAAGACAAACUUUUUUAUUUUGGGGUAACAUCAUGAGUCUUGUAAAAUUGAAUGACCAAAGCAGAGAGAUAGAAAUGAAUUGAGACUGCAAUGGAUACGCCAGGAAGCGAAAGGACUCGUAACCAUAGUGUCAUCCACCAUCUUUUUUUGCUCUACAGCAAGAUUUCAAGUUUCAUAAGUGUGGCCUCUGGUUGCUGGUCAAAGUAAUCUCUUCGUGUGGGGUGUCCUGUUAGCACAAAAUCUUUCAUGAUUUUAUGCAAGCACAGCACAAAAACAAACAAACCAUGAUGUGUAAUGCCGGCCCGAGGAUUGCCAUCCCUCAACGGUGGACUACCCACAAAUGUGGACCCUCUAACGCCAAAAUUCCCUCAAAUUCCCGUCCUGUCUGUCUCUGAUCCAGUUUGGCUCAGCGCUCUCCUCACCUCGUCUGUCAACACUCACCGGCUGAAUUUUGAAAGCACAGCACAGAGCAACACCAGACAGCUGGAGUCACGAGACCAAGGGUUUCCUACAUUGAAUACAGAAUCAAUGGUUGACUCCAGGCCUGGCUCCGCUCACCACGGAGGUUUGUUGAAGGAAACACAAUCUGGCUUGAAGGUGGAGUGUUUUACUUUGAAAAUGGACUAGAUGUUUUCAUGUUGUUUCUGUGUCUGACAUCUUGUCUUCCUCAACCUGCCCUGUGCUGAAAGUUGCAUUGUACUUUGGCAACGGAGCCGGUGGAAGCACAAAUAUCAACCAAGGUGAAACAUACCCACAGCCAAGGCGAAGACCGAACACAGAUCUCGUUGAAGUUUGGGGUAAUGAGUUGAAACCAUUGGUGGACAGUGAUGAAGUAAACUUACUCAAGUAUCUCCAGUUUAUGGGGGAAACAUUAUUUAGUCCAGAACAUUUAAAACACAAAUAUCGAACUUUCCCUCUAGUAACAGUCUCUGAAUGUUCUGCCCGAUUAAAUCCCAAAGACGAUAAACUUUGUGUAGUUCUGCUGAAUAGUUUUAUUUUACCUAGAGCAAACAGAGUAAAUUAGAGUGACCAUACGUCCUCUUUUACCCGUGCAUGUCCUCUUUUUUUUUUCUCUGUCCGGUCUGUCUGGGGGAGUUCAUA
rnacentral:lncRNA from 1 species